AUUUCUGAAUAUUACUAAUUUUGUGAUGCUCUUUCAAGCUGUGGUGAAAUUUUUGUCUAGACUUGUCUAUAUCAAAAUUUUGUUUAUUAGGGAAUAGGUCCAUUACAUGGGGACUAACUGUGUAACACUCAUUUUAUUAAGCCUCAAUUUCUCAGUCAAAAAAUGUUAUACAAUUGUGGGAAUACCAAGAUCACCAGGCCAGAAAGCUUUCCUUGCAUGAUAUCCACAUAACCCACAAACACUAUAAUAUGCAGUAAAUUAAAAAACUCAUGAUCAGGUGCUGUCGAAGAAUGUGUUCGAACUAGUUUACAAGCUCCACGAGGGUACAAUCCCACUGACUGAGGUGUCUUUAAGUAGCAAUGUUCUAAAACCCUG